rnacentral:rRNA from 1 species
UACGAAGGGGGCUAGCGUUGUUCGGAAUCACUGGACGUAAAGGGCGCGUAGGCGGCUUUAUAAGUCGGGGGUGAAAGCCUGUGGCUCAACCACAGAAUUGCCUUCGAUACUGUAGAGCUUGAGACCGGAAGAGGUAAGUGGAACUGCGAGUGUAGAGGUGAAAUUCGUAGAUAUUCGCAAGAACACCAGUGGCGAAGGCGGCUUACUGGUCCGGUUCUGACGCUGAGGCGCGAAAGCGUGGGGAGCAAACAGG